rnacentral:rRNA from 1 species
GAGGGGCAGCGGGGUUGUAGCAAUACAACUGCCGGCGACCGGCGCACGGGUGAGUAACACGUAUGUAACCUGCCCUCUGCAGGGGGAUAAGCGGAAGAAAUUCCGUCUAAUACCGCAUAAUACAAUUUGGAGACAUCUCCGGGUUGUCAAAGGAGUGAUCCGGCAGAGGAUGGACAUGCGGCGCAUUAGCUAGUCGGCGGGGUAACGGCCCACCGAGGCUACGAUGCGUAGGGGUUCUGAGAGGAAGGUCCCCCACACUGGUACUGAGACACGGACCAGACUCCUACGGGAGGCAGCAGUGAGGAAUAUUGGUCAAUGGGCGGAAGCCUGAACCAGCCAAGUCGCGUGAGGGAAGACGGUCCUAUGGAUUGUAAACCUCUUUUGCAGGGGAGCAAGGCGCGGUACGUGUACCGCGAAGGAGAGUACCCUGAGAAAAAGCAUCGGCUAACUCCGUGCCAGCAGCCGCGGUAAUACGGAGGAUGCGAGCGUUAUCCGGAUUUAUUGGGUUUAAAGGGUGCGCAGGCGGACUGUUAAGUCAGCGGUAAAAUGUCGGUGCUCAACACCGGCCGGCCGUUGAAACUGGCAGCCUUGAGUGAGCGAGAAGUAUGCGGAAUGCGUGGUGUAGCGGUGAAAUGCAUAGAUAUCUCGGGGAACUCCGAUUGCGAAGGCAGCAUACCGGCGCUCAACUGACGCUC